UCAUGAAAAGUCAUGAAUUUGAAAAUGUAAAAUGUAGCAGAUACUACCUUGAGAUACAAUCUCAAAUUGUGAUUGGAUGCCUGUCUUGUAUUUUACAUGUAUCGAAAGAUACUGCCAAAUAGAGUAAAUAUCCAAUCAUUUUUAUAUUUGUAAAAAUUGAAUAAAAAGGAUUAAAAGCAUAUUUAAAAUAUCCCCUCCCCUUCUCCCAUCUCUUCAACAGUUAGUUGUAGGGCCUCUCGUAACGUUGUACUCGUAGAAGUGUUAGGGAUUGCUUAGAAUUUAAAUUCGAUUGAAAAUAAUAUGAUUGAUUGACACAAGUAAUUUUUUUCUGGGACGCAAAUGAUACAAAUAUUUAAUGCAUAUUAAUAUGAACAAAGUUAUAUAUCUUUAUAUCAAUAAAAUAUUAAGUUAAAAUAAUAAAAUCGCUCCUUUAUGAGUUCAAAUAAUGCUUGAACAUAUCUUAAGCUUGAAAUUUACUGAUUAUUUAUCUAAAAUUAUUUACGUUUCUAAAAAGAACCCAUACAAAAAUGUAAUAUUUGCCAUUCUUUUUUAUUUUGUAUUCUAGUUCUUUUUUUAUGCCAGGUAUAGUUUAUAGCACCGUUUAGUUUAGUUUUGUUGAUGUAUUACUAUGCUUUUCUUAACAUUGUUUGACGUCACUAACAACUGAAUUAAAUGUUCAAAUCAAUUUGACAAACUGGUAGGUAUGUUUCAUAUGUAUUUAUGAACUGAUAAGAGGGAGGGAGAGCAAUCUAAUGUGACUGACCUUAAAAAUUACCUCCUUAGGUGGUCAUUUUCCCUUUAUUCUUGAAAUUUACUGUCAAAAUAUAUAUUUAUAAAACUAUUUGCUUGACUUUUCAGAAACGUUUCAUUUUGCUUCAAAUAUUUUAAACAAAAGACAGGAUUUGCCAUUAAUCACCUAAAUCAUAUUUUUCCAAGUUGCUGCUCCACUUUGAAAUAUUUCCUGUUUUUCAACUUAACUGCUUAGGUUACAGAUCUGCUAUUAUUAAAAUACUUCACGGUUUUCUCUGAAUCACUACCAGUUCUGCGUAUUUAUGACCACAUCUUGCGUUAGAUGAACGGAGGUUAUACCAAAAGGUUAAAAUGUUUUUUUUUCUUUCUUUUUUAAGAGAAUGAAAGCAUAAAGAAAAAAGGUCCUUUUAUCACCCCAAAACGCCGCACAAUGCACGCAAAACUAGUGCACACUUCUCUCUUUGUUACGUAAUUCUUGAGCGUCGGCGUUAUACCGGAACUUGCAGUAUGUUGGAUGCAGUAGGCAAGGCUCCUCAAAUCGUCCGUGCGUAGAAAUCAAAAAAUAAAACAUGUUUUUAUUUUUUUUCCUUCUCCUGUCUUACCUAACUUGAGCUUAAACUUUAGUAGGUCGUAACGCCCAUACGUCGUAUUGUUCGCGGAUUCAACAUUCAUGUCAUUAAUUUGACCAUGUGUUUCUUUCUUCUUUGAAUACACUACGUUCUUUUUUUUUCUUUCUACUUUCAUAAAUUGGGGGAACCAUCGUAAUACGUCAUAAUUCGGAAGAUUAGUACUAAAUGUAUCAACUCGUCCUUGUUUUUCCAGGCGAUUUAUUUUCAUUUCUCUGCUGGAGAAAAAAAAAAUAUUUUGAAAAAAUUUAUAUGUUUAAACACUUUAUUUCUACUGGAUUUCCUGGUCUCAUAUAGUUUGCAUUUUAUAUUUAGAAAGUUUCUCAAAAAUUUCUAUCAAAACAUACUUAGUUCAGAUUAUUGCUUGCUUUUGUGCCCAUUGAUAAGAUUGUUUCUUUUAAAUAAUGAAAUUGGCAACAUUUCUAGUAAUCAAAUUGAAGCUUUUAUUUUCAGUUAUUGUUAAAGUUUUAAUUUUAACUUUAAUAACUAUCUAUAAUAAAUUCAAUAUCUAUAUUCACAAUUAUGAAUUACGAAAUAAAUUUAAUUAAAACAUUUUAUUUCAAGUCCAUUUCGUUUCCACCACAUAUAGAAAAUAUUGUUGUCAAUUUGGGCUGCAUGGGAGUUAUAUUAUUCCGUGAACUAUUUAUUCAUAUUUUCAACUAUGCUUUUUGUAAAAUUAUGCAGUACUAAAACUAUAAUUAUACAGUAUUAAAUAUUGAACAGUAUUGCUGAAACUUGAAUUUCAUAAACUUAUGUAUUUUGCACCAAUUUUCAUCACUAGUAUUUUUCUGCGUUAAAAAUGCAGUUAUAGUUUAUUUGGUGGUUGUUCAGUGCUAUGAAGUUACUCUAUGAAAUGCCAAUAGAUGUUUGAAAAGAUGAAAGUUUUAUCUUAUUUACCCCCUAUUCAUGACCUGAAAGUUGUUAUCCCUAGGUUGAUUCGUCUGAUAACCUGCCGUAAAUAAAUAUGGAUUCUAUGACUCCGAAGUGUCCUUAUGUCAUUUUUUUAAAAAUUUGUUUUAUCAUUCCUUUUAUUUUGAUUUUUAUACACGGCAUUGUUUAUGUCUGGUGAAAAAAUAUAAUACUGUCUAUAAUAUUUGAUUUUGUUAACUUAAACGAGUAUUACCUACAUGUUACCUUGAGUUUUGCUUAGCGUAACUGCUUCAUGUUCCUUAUUUGCCUUUAAAGCUUGCAUUUAAUCAAUAUUAGUAUAUAUAAAUAAGUUUUGAGUAUAGAAAUGUAUUUCAAUAGCAGUUCUGUGACAAACCCGUGACAGUAUUUUUAAAUUAAGUUAAAGCACAUUAUUUUCAGUUCAUUACCACAUGAGUUUUGUAAAUUUAGACCAGUUUUUCCAUUCCGUUUUUCCUUUGUUUUUUAAUGUACUCUGAAAUGGUAUUACAAAUCUGUUUUUAAUAACAAUGAACAACAUUCUCGAAGUUAAUGUUUUUUUAAAAUUUCUGCGAAGAAAUUCAUUAUUUUCGACUUUAUUAUAUAUUUUUUUAAUUGAAACGUACGGUAAAAGUAUAAGUGUUUUUGUUUGAAAUAAAAUAUUUUUUGUUCGAACAAAUAUGAUUCCGUAGCGAUUUUAUCAGUGUUGAAGUGAAAUAUUCAAUUGGGAUGUCAGCCCGACAGAAUUGAAGUUAAGGUUACAGCCAGAUGGUAGCGACCUUCCUCUUGAAAAGGUUACGUUGUGAGCAAACCGCAGUCUUUCUCUUUUGCAGCUGGUGUACUCUUUUCUCUCCCCCUCUCUCCACCCAUCUCUCGUUUUUUUGUUGUUUUGAAUUUCUCCCUCGCCCAUAAAUAAACUUCCCCUUGAUUGUUUAUUAAAAGGUGUGCUAAUAGAUAAUUACUUACAUUUAGAGGAAAUAGUUUCAUUGUGUUUUAGCAUUAGAUGUGUUCAAUAUUUGUAUUUUGUUUAAUCGAAAUUAUUCUAUUCGAGAUUUCUAUCUCUUUAAUUAUUUGACCCAUUUGUUCACGUUAUUAUACCCUGUUAUAAUAAUAAAAUAAAUAAGUUGAAUUAUAUUCCAUUAAAUAUUAUUGAGUUUUAUUAAAUUUUUUGUAUCCUUUCCGAUUUUUUAUAUCUGGUCAUUUAUUUGAUCAAUUUUUUCACAGUUAUGUUAUAUUCUGUUAAUCUAAUUAAUAAUGGUUUUCUGUUAAAACUUCUUGUGAAUAAAAUUAUGUAUCUCAAACGAUUUUGAAUAGUUCUGGAAAAAUUUAAUCUUGGAAUUUUUUUUUUAAAAAAUGAAAUAAAGAUUGUUUUUGUUUUACAGCAAAAUUCAUUCUGUUUUUGUUUUAUCGCAAAAUUUAUUCUGUUUUUGUUUUACCGCUAUAGUUAAUCUGUUUCAUACACAA